rnacentral:rRNA from 1 species
AUCAUGAGUUCACAUGUCCGCAUGAUUAAAGGUAUUUUCCGGUAGACGAUGGGGAUGCGUUCCAUUAGAUAGUAGGCGGGGUAACGGCCCACCUAGUCAACGAUGGAUAGGGGUUCUGAGAGGAAGGUCCCCCACAUUGGAACUGAGACACGGUCCAAACUCCUACGGGAGGCAGCAGUGAGGAAUAUUGGUCAAUGGGCGAUGGCCUGAACCAGCCAAGUAGCGUGAAGGAUGACUGCCCUAUGGGUUGUAAACUUCUUUUAUAAAGGAAUAAAGUCGGGUAUACAUACCCGUUUGCAUGUACUUUAUGAAUAAGGAUCGGCUAACUCCGUGCCAGCAGCCGCGGUAAUACGGAGGAUCCGAGCGUUAUCCGGAUUUAUUGGGUUUAAAGGGAGCGUAGAUGGAUGUUUAAGUCAGUUGUGAAAGUUUGCGGCUCAACCGUAAAAUUGCAGUUGAUACUGGAUGUCUUGAGUGCAGUUGAGGCAGGCGGAAUUCGUGGUGUAGCGGUGAAAUGCUUAGAUAUCACGAAGAACUCCGAUUG